GUAGGUGAACCUGCGGAAGGAUCAUUAACACGUGAAAACGUUAUAUUCCAACUUAUCAACUAACACGACGAACUGUGCUCCCUGUGCCUUUUCCAAAGCUGUCGACUCGUGAUUUAUAGUGGGUCCCCGGCGUCAUGGAUUUAUUCAUGGAACGGUUUAAAGGGCAUAAUCCGAGAGGCUUGCCUUUUCUAGAAAGAGGGGCUUUGGAACUGUUUGUGCAGGCUAUCCUCCAAUCCUUGGCAACCCCUUU
rnacentral:misc_RNA from 1 species